GUCUACAGCUAUAUCAUUCUGAACAAGCCCAAUCUUGUCUGAUCUUGGAAGCUAAGCAGAGUCGGGCCUGGUUAGUACUUGGAUGGGAGACUGCCUCGGAAGACCAGGUGCUAUAGGCA
rnacentral:rRNA from 1 species